GUGCCAGCAGCCGCGGUAAUACCGGCAGCUCAAGUGGUCGUCGCUUUUAUUGGGCCUAAAACGUCCGUAGCCUGUUUGGUAAAUCUGUGGGUAAAUCAACCAGCUUAACUGGUUGAAUUCUGCAGAGACUGCCAGACUAGGGACCGGGAGAGGUGUGGGGUACUCUAGGGGUAGGGGUAAAAUCCUGUCAUCCUUAGAGGACCACCAGUUGCGAAGGCGCCACACUGGAACGGAUCCGACGGUCAGGGACGAAGCCUAGGGGCACGAACCGGAUUAGAUACCCGGGUAGUCCUAGGUGUAAACGCUGUGAACUUGGUGUCGGGGAUCCGUCAUGGGUCCCCGGUGCCGGAGUGAAGAUGUUAAGUUCACUGCCUGGGGAGUACGGUCGCAAGGCUGAAACUUAAAGGAAUUGGCGGGGGAGCACUGCAACGUGUGGAGCGUGCGGUUUAAUUGGAUUCAACGCCGGAAAACUCACCGGGGGCGACGGUUACAUGAAGGCCAAGCUGAUGACUUUGCCUGAUUUUCCGAGAGGUGGUGCAUGGCCGCCGUCAGUUCGUACCGUAAGGCGUUCUGUUAAGUCAGAUAACGAACGUGACCUCCGUCACCAUUUGCUAUCCUCUUCUCCGGAAGGGGAGCACUAUGGUGGUGCCGCCACUGUUAAAGUGGAGGAAGGAGGGGGCAACGGUAGGUCAGUAUGCCCCGAAUCUCCCGGGCUACACGCGCGCUACAAAGGGCAGGACAAUGGGCUUCGACACCGAAAGGUGAAGGUAAUCCUGAAACCUGCUCGUAAUUCGGAUUGAGGGCUGCAAUUCGCCCUCAUGAAGCUGGAAUACGUAGUAAUCGCGGGUCAACAUCCCGCGGUGAAUAUGCCCCUGCUCCUUGCACUCACCGCCCGUC
rnacentral:rRNA from 1 species